UCAGCGAAAUGAACAGGGAGGUCAGCCGAACAGGAGAUCAGACACUUUUAUCUCCUCACUUUUACUGACCUGACCAAACCCCCCCCUCCCCUCUCUCUACCGUCCACCAGCACAUUGUCCUGACGGGGGCUAAUUGAGACCUGUGUUUAUCAUUUUUAUGACUUUAUCCAUGAAGACAGAGGUACCGUGAGCUUCCUGUUCUCCAGGUUCCUUGAUGGAGCGGUCACAUUAUUAGGGUCAGCGUCGGCUCCCAUCUCGCCCAGCAUUGUUCCAGCUGGUGCUAAGACCAUUCCCAAACUGAUAAGACUUUGUCUAUUUUGGGACUCUCUUUUUAUGUCCUUGACAUGAGUUUGAGCCAGAAAUAAUUUUUUUUAAAUUUCCUACUAAAUGCCGAUAUAACAUCACAACAAAAAAGUAACAGUAAAGUAUAAAAGCAACCACUUUUAUGUACUUUUCACAGCAAAGGGAAGAAACUAGAUACCAUUUGAUGUCUUUGUAGCGCAAGUAAGGAAUUACUUCACAAGUUUUGGUGAGAAAACAAAUGACAGAUUAUGUCCAAGCAGCAUUAUUGUUUUUCUGGCAGCUACAGCCUCAUAAAUACUGCUCUCCACAACUUGACCUGUUUUUGACCCCUCCGCCCAAAGAAGUCCCUCAAUUCAUCUCGCUCCAAACUAAAACACCAGCAAGACAACAAUCUAGAUUUUAAAAUCACUGUCUGAUGCUGUCUUGUUGAAAUCUGACGGGUUAAUUACUGAUCAAACUCUCUGGAUAUGGUUUUUAGAGACAGAGCGGUCUUUGUGUUUGACAAUCAGGGUAUGAAUUGAUCAGUCAAACACUCUGGAUCCUUUCAUGUGUGGCCUUUGCCUAGUUGGGGCGCUAAAGCAACACCGCGGAACAAAACACAGAUACCCCCAAGGGUGCAAACAGGGCGCCACGCCAGCUCACGGUGUCCCAAAGUCGAUCAAUAAUUGCAUGUGUGAUCAGUAAGAAUCUGGAUCAAUAGAGGCGAGCGAGGGCGCAAGAUAAGGAGAGAAGCUUCUGGAUCCUGGAGUUGAUCCUGAAACUGCAUCAUACGACUCGGUUCAAAUUGGAGUUUUUAUAGCUUUUUCUCUUCCUGUUAAAUAAUGCAAAAUCAUUUUUGGAGAUUACAGAACAAAUACUCCCAAACUCAUGGCUGGAACUUCCUCAUAGACGCAACAACUUCUCUUUUACCGGGCUGCGGUUGCAAGCUCCUUCAAACUGUCUCCCCAUAGCAGCUCUGAUCUUCACACUACCUUUUUAAUGAUGUAACACUUCUCUUUUAUCACGCUGGGUUUAAGCUGCGCACAUUUGAAAAACACCAACAUGCGUCUUUGGUCAUGUUUGCUCCUCUCAGAAACGCUCUGCCGACCCUGUAGUCCUUCUUUGUGCUAAAGUGAGAGAAAUGGCCAAGGAAUGCACUGCAUGUUGUUUUCACACAUCUGUGGUUUUAUGGAGGAAAUGCACCGUUUGUGUGAGUGCUUCCUCCCCUAAGUUGUUCCCUUUACACCAACGCUGUGUAGAAAUGAGCAGCGCUGAGAGGAAGAGCCGACCCACCUAUAACAAGAUUCACACAUAUUUUCUUUUAAAUUGUUUCUUCUUCAGGGAGAUGAAGCAACCCCCCCGUCAGCUGUCUCCUUUCAGACUUCCGUCAAAAUAAAACCCAAUGGGUUCAUUAAAUUGUGACACAAAUCAGAGUCAAGUUCGCGAUGGUAUGAGGUGAAAUAAAACCUGAUCAGUGGUGUGAAAAUUUAGCUUUCACCUUUUUUUACCCUUCCUUUCUGAGAGCAAAGUGAUAUUAUCGUGUUUCAAAAAUAAAUGAUUAAGAGGAAACCUUGUGGCUGUUUGGGCGACACUUUUUUAUGUCACAUUCAAACCUUCAUUAAAGUUUUCUAAAUGUGCCCGACUGGAGUAUUUUAUCUAUAAAUUAUCUCACAUAUCUGGCUUAUCUUACACUUCAAGGAGCUCCUGUGUUUGACUAAACCUCACAGUGUCUGAGUUCACCUGAUGCAGAUUAUCUCCUCGGUUCAUUUACACACAAUGGAUCAUCAGUAACUCUUCACUGCCCGCCUGCAGCACCAAUUCCAGCCCUCCAGCCCCAGUUUAAAGGCAAAUAUUGAGGUUUUUAUGCAAUAAUGUGAAAACUAAUCCUUUUUCUGGGCUCUACGGGGAGAUUUUGACAGCUAUCACAUUUGUACGAUAAAUAAAACACCACAGCCUGCACCUCGGAGCAGUGAGUUUAGCUUCGUGCAAAGAAACCUACAAAGAAGUCCUCGAAAUGUCGUGAAAGAUACUGUAACAGUUGAGCUAUCUCCCCUCUUGAUUUUGUUUUUUCUCUUCCAAUCAUAUUCAAGCAAUCAGUGUCAGCUGACUAACGUAUCUGCUGUGAUUAUUUCUCUAUGAUAACAUGGGAAAAGCUCAUAUCAGGAAACUGGGGGGGAAAGUCCCUCCUGAUAUCAUCACUAACUGCAUCCAGACAAAAGCCUGCUACUACCUACGCUGACAUGCUGCAGUGUUGGCGAAACAAUGGAGACCCAAGAGGACGCUAUCCGCAGCUGAAAAAUGGCAUCCACAUAAUCAGAUCAAUGCCCACAGUUUGGGGACUUUGAACUUUGCAGAAACUGUUGCAGGUUCAGAUGUUUUUGGCUUUCCACCGUUCGAAACAUGUCUUCGCCGCAGGCUGCGAGGCAUGGGGCUUUAUCAGAUGGCCUUGUUGGCCUUGAAAUAACACGGACUGUAUCAUGGCUCAGCAGACUUGAAUCUGGCAGAGGUGACACAGGAUAAUAAUAAAUAAAACCUGCAAGGCUUUUUAAAAACGUGGUUUAAGACGUUUCUUUAAAGGGAGGCUUAAAGUGACAAACUGAGAAAAUGAGCAAACCUUCACCAGAUCAGUUCUCGCUGAUCUUUAUGAGAGUUUGAUGGUUAGAUUGGUACUAUUGUUGUGUCCAUGCACAAAUGCUGUGUUCGAGUUACCUCAGAAGUCAGAUGUCGGAGUUGAAAAUGACGAUUUCCCAGCGUUUCAGUUGUCAAAUAGGAAAAAAGCAAAAUCAGAGGUGGAAACAAGGUGGCGACAUCUACGAAAGUUAUUUUAGCGCUUGCCUUGUCCGAAUUUAAGCAAGGACAAGACAAACGCUAAAACCUUGUUUAAGGCCUCCGAGUUUGCUUUUUUCCGACUUGGUAACUGAAUUGUUGGAACACCGGUGUGACGUCAUUUUCAGCACCAACAUCUGACUUCUUAGGUAACAUAAACGCAGCAUUAACCCUCAUUUUUCUACUCAUCCACUCUAUUAAACUAGAUCCCCAAGGCUAAUGCUGCAUUCGAGUUACUAGGAAGUCAGAAGUCCGAGCUGAAAAUGACGUCUCACCUGAGUUCCCAAUGUUUCAGUUACCAAGUCGGAAAAAAGCAAAAUCGGAGGUGGAAACAAGAUGGCAACAUCUACGAACGUUAUUUCAGCGCUUGCCUUGUCUGAAUAUAAGGCAAACGCUAAAAUAACUUUCGUUGUAUAACUUUUCGCCAUCUUGUUUGAGGCCUCUGAUUUUGCUUUUUUCCUGACUUGGUAACUGAAACAUUGGGAACUCAGGUGAGACGUCAUUUUCAGCUCCAACAUCUGACUUCUGAGGUAACUUGAACGCAGCAUUAGCUUUGGGGAUCUAGCUUAGUAGCGAGCUUAUCUCAGCACAACAGCCAUUAGCACUGGGAAACAGUUAGCUCAACCCUUCAUUUUAGACCACAACAUACAAAAAGUGCAGCAUUAAAUAGUUAAAAAUUUACAGCUAUUAUAUACAGUACAUCUUGCAGUAGUGGGAUGUAGGACUUCUUCUGCGACAUGAAUCUCCACAUUUUUACCACAAAGCAGUCCGCUUAGCCGAGGCCACACUCAAUCUCCUGCCACACUAAUGUAAGGCCCAGAUUUACAGAGUAAAUCAAAGCAGGCGAUUUCCUCCGCUCAGAGGAAAACCCCUCGGAGGAGAAUGAGUUGAUAAUGUCCCAAUGUGCCCCCGGUUUCCUCUCAGAUAAAUAAAUACAUAAAUAAAAACACGCCUGGCCACUCCAGCUUUAUUGUUCCUCUGUAGGCUGUGAAGUAGAGGCUAUAUUGUUUAUAAUAAAUAAGUCCAUUAACAGAUUUGGCCCAGGUGGGUGACAGGGCCUCUGUGAUAUUCCCCCCACAGACACUUGGACCCCAGUGUGGUGCUGUAAUACUUCCAUUUAAGGAAGCGAUGGCCAAGGAAAAAGGGGGACUGCAGAGGUUAGUGUUGGUUUGACUGGGCUGAGACUGUGUCACGUUUUCUGGAGUGAUAAGAGCCGGAGCAGGAAGCUGUGAGAGGGCAGGAAGGAAGAGAGCUAAGGUCUGGAAGGAGAGAGGGGAGUCGUGGAGAAGGAGGGAUGAGGGUGAAGAGAGAGCAGGCAGCAAAAAUAAGAAAUUUAGAAAUCCAAAAUGCACCGCAGUGAAGAAACCGAUCUUAAAUAAACGCAGCAAAGCACGGAGAUUAAGUCUGAUUCUCUCUGCAGUGUGUAAGAGGGCUGAGCUUACUGGGAAACGCAGAGGGAACCUGGGGUCUAAGAGGAAGUGAGUGGAUGACUUAAUUUGGUCUGAAAGGCCACGCAAGCAUACACCUGCUUCCCGCAAUCAAACAGGCCACAAAAUGAUGACGGUAUCCAGCUCGGAGCUUUGUCUGUGAGCAGAACAUCAGAAAAAUGAAGGUCUGCAGCUCUCUCAAAAAUCUGACGCUGAAAAGUUUCUGCUCUUGUUUUUGCAUUUUUUUAAGGGUCUGUUACAGUUUUCGAAAUUUGGUUUCUCUGUCUGACUGCGAGUGGCGAGUUAUGAGUAAGCUUUCCUGUCUUAUCAGUUGCUCAUUUCUUUGUACCUCUAAAAAAAACCUCUUUCUGUACGUGUUAGGACACCACAUGUAGAGUUUAAAAAAGAUUACCUCGAUGCAAAUUGGUCGGUGCAGUUUGAUUCAGUACAACAUGAAUUUGUAGUCUCUGUGCUCCUGUUGGACUUUAGCCACUGGAGAACCCCCCCAGGUGAGAAUAUCAGCA